UGCAGUCGAGCGAACAGACGAGGAGCUUGCUCCUUUGACGUUAGCGGCGGACGGGUGAGUAACACGUGGGUAACCUACCUAUAAGACUGGGAUAACUUCGGGAAACCGGAGCUAAUACCGGAUAAUAUUUCGAACCGCAKGGUUCGAUAGUGAAAGAUGGCUYUGCUAUCACUUAUAGAUGGACCUGCGCCGUAUUAGCUAGUUGGUAAGGUAACGGCUUACCAAGGCAACGAUACGUAGCCGACCUGAGAGGGUGAUCGGCCACACUGGAACUGAGACACGGUCCAGACUCCUACGGGAGGCAGCAGUAGGGAAUCUUCCGCAAUGGGCGAAAGCCUGACGGAGCAACGCCGCGUGAGUGAUGAAGGUCUUCGGAUCGUAAAACUCUGUUAUUAGGGAAGAACAAACGUGUAAGUAACUGUGCACGUCUUGACGGUACCUAAUCAGAAAGCCACGGCUAACUACSUGCCAGCAGCCGCGGUAAUACGUAGGUGGCAAGCGUUAUCCGGAAUUAUUGGGCGUAAAGCGCGCGUAGGCGGUUUUUUAAGUCUGAUGUGAAAGCCCACGGCUCAACCGUGGAGGGUCAUUGGAAACUGGAAAACUUGAGUGCAGAAGAGGAAAGUGGAAUUCCAUGUGUAGCGGUGAAAUGCGCAGAGAUAUGGAGGAACACCAGUGGCGAAGGCGACUUUCUGGUCUGUAACUGACGCUGAUGUGCGAAAGCGUGRGGAUCAAACAGGAUUAGAUACCCUGGUASUCCACGCCRUAMACGAUGAGUGCUAAGUGUUAGGGGGUUUCCGCCCCUUAGUGCUGCAGCUAACGCAUUAAGCACUCCGCCUGGGGAGUACGACCGCAAGGUUGAAACUCAAAGGAUUUGACG
rnacentral:rRNA from 1 species